GACAGUGUAACAAGGUUUCCGUAGGUGAACCUGCGGAAGGAUCAUUA
rnacentral:rRNA from 1 species